GACGAUCGCUGGCGGCGUGCCUAACACAUGCAAGUCGAGCGGGGUCCAUCCGGUAGCAAUACCGGGGAAGACCUAGCGGCGAACGGGUGAGUAACACGUGAGAAACCCUGCCCCGAAGUCUGGGAUAACCCGAGGAAACUCGAGCUAAUACCGGAUGUCUUCUUCUGAUCGCAUGGUCGGAUGAAAGAAAGAUUUAUCGCUUCGGGAGGGUCUCGCGGCUAUCAGCUAGUUGGCGGGUAACGGCCCACCAAGGCGUCGACGGGUAGCUGGUCUGAGAGGACGAUCAGCCACACUGGGACUGAGACACGGCCCAGACUCCUACGGGAGGCAGCAGUGGGGAAUAUUGCGCAAUGGGCGAAAGCCUGACGCAGCAACGCCGCGUGCGGGAUGAAGGCCUUCGGGUUGUAACCGCUUCAGUGGGGACGAAUUCAGACGGUACCCACAGAAGAAGCCCCGGCCAACUACGUGCCAGCAGCCGCGGUAAU
rnacentral:rRNA from 1 species